rnacentral:rRNA from 1 species
GAUGAACGCUGGCGGCGUGCUUAACACAUGCAAGUCGUACGGUAAGGCCCUUUCGGGGGUACACGAGUGGCGAACGGGUGAGUAACACGUGAGUAACCUGCCCACAACUUUGGGAUAACGCUAGGAAACUGGUGCUAAUACUGGAUAUGUGCUCCUGCUGCAUGGUGGGGGUUGGAAAGCUCCGGCGGUUGUGGAUGGACUCGCGGCCUAUCAGCUUGUUGGUGGGGUAGUGGCCUACCAAGGCGGCGACGGGUAGCCGGCCUGAGAGGGUGACCGGCCACAUUGGGACUGAGAUACGGCCCAGACUCCUACGGGAGGCAGCAGUGGGGAAUAUUGCACAAUGGGCGCAAGCCUGAUGCAGCAACGCCGCGUGCGGGAUGACGGCCUUCGGGUUGUAAACCGCUUUCAGCAGGGACGAAGCUUUUUGUGGCGGUACCUGCAGAAGAAGCACCGGCUAACUACGUG